CGGACGGGUGAGUAAUGUAUGGGGAUCUGCCUGAUGGCGGGGGAUAACUACUGGAAACGGUAGCUAAUACCGCAUAAUGUCUGCGGACCAAAGCGGGGGACCUCCGGGCCUCGCGCCAUCAGAUGAACCCAUAUGGGAUUAGCUAGUAGGUAAGGUAACGGCUUACCUAGGCGACGAUCCCUAGCUGGUCUGAGAGGAUGAUCAGCCACACUGGGACUAAGACACGGCCCAG
rnacentral:rRNA from 1 species